GGGGCCAUAGCUCAGCUGGGAGAGCGCAUCCCUUGCACGGAUGAGGUCGUCGGUUCGAUCCCGACUGGCUCCACCA
rnacentral:tRNA from 2 species